UACGGAGGGUGCAAGCGUUGCUCGGAAUUAUUGGGCGUAAAGGGUAGGUAGGUGGUCUCAUUUGUCUGGGGUGAAAGCCUUGAGCUUAACUCAAGAAGUGCCCCAGAGACGGUGAGACUAGAGUUCUGGAGAGGGUCGUGGAAUUCCCGGUGUAGCGGUGAAAUGCGUAGAGAUCGGGUGGAACACCAGCGGCGAAGGCGGCAUCCUGGCCCUGUACUGACGCUGAGGCGCGAUAGCGUGGGGAGCAAACGGG
rnacentral:rRNA from 1 species